GACGAACGCUGGCGGCGCGCCUAACACAUGCAAGUCGAACGGAGUCAAGAGGAGCUUGCUUUUCUUGACUUAGUGGCGAACGGGUGAGUAACGCGUGAGUAACCUGCCCUGGAGUGGGGGACAACAGUUGGAAACGACUGCUAAUACCGCAUAAGCCCACGGAUCUGCAUGGAUCUGCGGGAAAAGGAUUUAUUCGCUCUAGGAUGGACUCGCGUCCAAUUAGCUAGUUGGUGAGGUAACGGCCCACCAAGGCGACGAUUGGUAGCCGGACUGAGAGGUUGAACGGCCGCAUUGGGACUGAGACACGGCCCAGACUCCUACGGGAGGCAGCAGUGGGGGAUAUUGCACAAUGGGGGAAACCCUGAUGCAGCGGCGCCGCGUGGAGGAAGAAGGUUUUCGGAUUGUAAACUCCUGUCGUUAGGGACGAUAAUGACGGUACCUAACAAGAAAGCACCAGCUAACUACGU
rnacentral:rRNA from 1 species